UGGUGGCAGCGUAGGUGAUUGAAUUUCCAGGUUCGUGAAUUCCGUUAUUAUAAUUAUUACUAUUAUUAUUACUAUUGCUAUUAUUAUUAUGACUAUUAUGAUUAUUGAAAAAGAUAUUUUUUAAAGUUUUUUCUAGGUGUUUAGGUUUGUCAAUAACUUCUGCUGAUGAGAUGCAGUAACAGGAGGAGAAGAUAGAAAUUAAAAAGAGGAAGAAACUAUGCAUCAUCAGAGGGUGUAUUAACGAAAACAGCAGGAUGUUCUCCUUCCCCUUAGAGAGAAAGGAUAAGAAGAGGAUGGCACAGUGGGUGGAAGUAUGUGACAACCCAAAGAAAUUCUGAGUGAUCUGUAGUAGCUACUUUAAAGAAAAAUACUUCAUGAGGAAAAGAUUAACAACAUCAGCAGUUCCAACACUGAACUUACUUGUGUCAGAGACUACCUCUAUUAAAAUAGAGCAACAAGACAC